ensembl:lncRNA
CCCGCUAUGGGUCCCGCUAUGGGGCAGGGCUGUGCUAUGGGUCCCGCUAUGGGUCCCGCUAUGGGGCAGGGCUAUGGGUCCAUACCAGUACGGGGUGCCCACGAAGCUGCAGGCCGAGGCGCCGUGGGGCAGGGUUGUGCUAUGGGGCAGGGCUAUGGGUCCCGCUAUGGGGCAGGGCUGUGCUAUGGGGCAGAGCUAUGGGUCCCGCUAUGGGUCCAUACCAGUACGGGGUGCCCACGAAGCUGCAGGCCGAGGCGCUGUGGGGCAGGGCUGUGCUAUGGGGCAGGGCUGUGCUAUGGGUCCCGCUAUGGGGCAGGGCUAUGGGUCCCGCUAUGGGGCAGGGCUAUGGGUCCAUACCAGUACGGGGUGCCCACGAAGCUGCAGGCCGAGGCGCUGUGGGGCAGGGCUGUGCUAUGGGGCAGGGCAGGGCUAUGGGUCCCGCUAUGGGUCCCGCUAUGGGGCAGAGCUAUGGGGCAGAGCUAUGGGUCCAUACCAGUACGGGGUGCCCACGAAGCUGCAGGCCGAGGCGCUGUGUGCGGCUGAGCCGAAGUCGCUGAGUUUGAUGCGGCCCCG